GGCUCCAUAGUUCAAUGGAUAGAAUAUCAGAUUCCGGUUCUGACGAUUUGGGUUCGAAUCCCGAUGGGGUCACAA
rnacentral:tRNA from 1 species